UACGUAGGGUGCAAGCGUUGUCCGGAAUUAUUGGGCGUAAGGAGCUCGUAGGCGGUUUGUCGCGUCUGCUGUGAAAACCCGAGGCUCAACCUCGGGCCUGCAGUGGGUACGGGCAGACUAGAGUGCGGUAGGGGAGAUUGGAAUUCCUGGUGUAGCGGUGGAAUGCGCAGAUAUCAGGAGGAACACCAAUGGCGAAGGCAGAUCUCUGGGCCGUAACUGACGCUGAGGAGCGAAAGCAGGGGGAGCGAACAGG
rnacentral:rRNA from 1 species